GGAUGGAAAGAUGAUCUGGCUGCUAAAUCUGUCAACCCAUUGUUCACUAGAGUUGGUUUAGCUGAUCUGGCUUGCAAAGCAGGCACCUCCCUUCUCCCUCACUCUUCCAUGUAUGUCUCUCCUGAACUUGUGUAGAAGAAAAGGACCUUCCCUGGAUAAGAGGACCAUUCUGUUGAUGGUAAGUAGUGGUAUUCCCCUGGUAAAACUUCCAAACAACCACUUAAGAUUCAUUUCAGAUGACACCCUAACCAGGAAGUUUAACAACGAACAUAUUUUCACUAU
rnacentral:snRNA from 1 species